AACGCACAUUGCACCCUCUGGUAUUCCGGGGGGUAUAUCUGUCCGAGCGUCAUUACAACCUUAAAGCCCGGCUUUUUAUUGGAUUCUAGUUCUGCUCCGGCGGGACGGAUCCGAAAUGGAUUAAUGACGUCGCGAUUACCACGGAAUCGAGCGAAUGGAAUCAUUAACGCUCUGUUUGAAGUGGCCGACGGUCUUCUGAAGCGGUCAUUCUUGAUCGUCUUUUUUAACGGUUGACCUCGGAUCAGAUAAGGAUACCCGCUGAACUUAA
rnacentral:misc_RNA from 1 species